AAACGUUUGACACCAGUCAUGCGGGUGGAAAAUCAGUCUUUUAGAGUAGGGAGUGGUGGGGGUUCGGACCGCAAGGCUGGCCUUUAUCUCAUCUCUGCGCUAAUGGAUGCACUUUUUCAUU
rnacentral:rRNA from 1 species